GACGAACGCUGGCGGCGUGCUUAACACAUGCAAGUCGAACGGAAAGGCCCUGCUUUUGUGGGGUGCUCGAGUGGCGAACGGGUGAGUAACACGUGAGUAACCUGCCCUUGACUUUGGGAUAACUUCAGGAAACUGGGGCUAAUACCGGAUAGGAGCUCCUGCUGCAUGGUGGGGGUUGGAAAGUUUCGGCGGUUGGGGAUGGACUCGCGGCUUAUCAGCUUGUUGGUGGGGUAGUGGCCUACCAAGGCUUUGACGGGUAGCCGGCCUGAGAGGGUGACCGGCCACAUUGGGACUGAGAUAAGGCCCAGACUCCUACGGGAGGCAGCAGUGGGGAAUAUUGCACAAUGGGCGGAAGCCUGAUGCAGCAACGCCGCGUGCGGGAUGACGGCCUUCGGGUUGUAAACCGCUUUCGCCUGUGACGAAGCGUGAGUGACGGUAAUGGGUAAAGAAGCACCGGCUAACUACGUG
rnacentral:rRNA from 1 species